GGAAGUAAAAGACGUAACAAGGUUUCCGUAGGUGAACCUGCGGAAGGAUCAUUAUUGUAUAACCGAGGUGCGAGGGCUGUCGCUGACCCGAAAGGUCGUGCACGCCCGAGUGCCCUCACACACAUCCAUCUCACCCCUAUGUGCACCACCGCGUGGGUCCCCCUUUGGCUUGUUCGGAGGGGGGCUUACGUUUUCACACAAACUUUGUAUGCAGUGUAGAAUGUAUUUUUUGUUUUUGCGAUCACGCAAUCAAUACAACUUUCAACAACGGUUCUCUUGGCUCUC
rnacentral:misc_RNA from 1 species